GAUGAACGCUAGCUACAGGCUUAACACAUGCAAGUCGCGGGGCAGCAUGGGGGUUGCUUGCAAUCCCCGAUGGCGACCGGCGCACGGGUGAGUAACGCGUAUUCAACCUGCCCUUCACCACGGGAUAACCCGGCGAAAGUCGGACUAAUACCGUAUGUUGUCCAUUGACGGCAUCCGAUUUGGACGAAAGGCUUGGCGGUGAGGGAUGGGGAUGCGUCCGAUUAGCCAGACGGCGGGGUAACGGCCCACCGUGGCUACGAUCGGUAGGGGUUCUGAGAGGAAGGUCCCCCACACUGGAACUGAGACACGGUCCAGGCUCCUACGGGAGGCAGCAGUGAGGAAUAUUGGUCAAUGGGCGUAAGCCUGAACCAGCCAAGUAGCGUGCAGGAUGACGGCCCUAUGGGUUGUAAACUGCUUUUAUGCGGGGAUAAAGUGGCCCACGUGUGGGCUUUUGCAGGUACCGCAUGAAUAAGGACCGGCUAAUUCCGUG
rnacentral:rRNA from 1 species